UACGUAGGGCGCAAGCGUUAUCCGGAAUUAUUGGGCGUAAAGGGCUCGUAGGCGGUUUGUCGCGUCGGGAGUGAAAACGCCGUGCUUAACACGGCGCUUGCUUUCGAUACGGGCAGACUAGAGGUAUUCAGGGGAGAACGGAAUUCCUGGUGUAGCGGUGAAAUGCGCAGAUAUCAGGAGGAACACCGGUGGCGAAGGCGGUUCUCUGGGAAUGACCUGACGCUGAGGAGCGAAAGUGUGGGGAGCGAACAGG
rnacentral:rRNA from 1 species